CUCACGACACGGAUUCGAGGUCAUUACAGAAAUGUGAUAAGAAUAUGAUGUCCGCUAUAUAAAUCUCUUGGCAAUUGAUCGACCUUGAUUGCAGGGAAUAACCAUUUUUCUUCGUUGCGUCCGAGGCGCUUCUGGGUGAGUAGUAUGAGCACCCUCUGGCCGUCGGUGCAGCGUCGUGACGCGGCUCUGAAGAACGCUCGGUGUAGAGGGACGAGAGAUGCGGAAAGGCAGAUAGAGGAAAACGUAGCCGGAUGAAUGCAGCCGGUAGAUUCGGCAUGGAUUUCCAGCGACGGUAAAACCAUCACGAUUUCCGUGCGAUUGUCGCUGUGAACGGUCGGACAAGCAUUGUCCGUGGAGCAAAAAAGGACGCAGCGGGUGGCAAACGUUAGGAAAUUCGCCCGAGGAGGGGCUGCACGGAGGUCAGAAGGGGGUGGCAAAAGGCUAAGCCGAAACCUUUUUCAACGAUGAAGGCUUCUCCCUCACUCUUUAACUUCUCUUUCCCUUCGUCCCGCGCAUUGUACACGCUGUCGUUUCUCUUUCUUCGCACUUUUUACCUUUUCUUCUUCCCGUUUCACUCCUUGUCUUUCUUCCUCUUUCGUUUCCUCUCCGCCUUGUAGGAACGCAAAGGUGGUAUGCAAUCUCUGUCUGUCUUUCGGCGCAAGCCAAGGAGAUUAUACACGUUUCCGUAGCCAGCAUCUUCUUUGUCCAUCUUCUGUCGCUUUGUACCGCAUCGAAGGAGGCAGGCGGGUACGCGCGAGCCUUCCUCUUUGUCUCGGGCCAUUCCACUUUUCCGUUGUUUACUUUGCCGGGCGUUUUUCUCGUCGGCCGAUCGCGCGAGCCUCACUUUCGCCUUCCGCGAGACCUGUUCCCUAACUCGUUCUCCUGCUUAAUUGGCUUCUCCGUCGCGAUUUAUGGCGCUUCCAGGGGUGACAGGGUAAUUUCUUUUGGAUUCGAGAAUGUCCGCGAUCUGGACGUAGCGGCAUAGUGUGGCAAAUUUUUGCGAGCCAGCGGAUGCGAGUGAUAGGGAUGGAUGGAGGCAUUGAUCGUACGGAGAAACAUCGGGAAAAUUGAAUGAAACCAGGAGAAAUUGUCGAUACAAGGAAAGAUGGUUCUUUUUAGAUAUAAAUAUAACGUGUGAUAUUAAAACGAGAAAUAUAUUGGAUAAAUAUCGGUCAUAGUAUUAUUCCCAAGUGUCCAUGUAGCGAAUAAAUCUGGCUAGCAAUUAAAAAUAAUUUACGUUACUUUCGACCUACUUUAUUCUCCUGUCCGACGUUGCAAUAAUGAUUAACGAUAAUUACAGCCUAAAAACAACCUAUCUAAGAUCAAUUAACCUUCGUAAAUCUAUAUUUCUCUGUCCAAAGCAGCUUCUAAUUAAGAAACAAUGCAACCAACAGGUUGAUAGAGUUUAACAGAGUAUAAAUGCAACGAGAGAGUUUCCUUUCUUGCCACGUAUUUUCCGCUGGGUUUACGACGUUCGCGUUGAAGAAUCGCUGCGGUGCAGAGAUUGUCUCGAAGACAAACGGCGAGUGGCCGAGUGCGUGUCAAUGGCCCCGCGCCAAAAUUGCAGAAACAGCGUCGAAGCACAGUGAUGGCUUUUCGGUCCUUUUGCUUGAUUUUUGGUAAUUACGCCGCGCGGAAGGCUAGCAAUCUCGUAGCCUGGGCCCUUGCCUCCGCGAAACUUCUCCCGAUGAUAGCUCGGCAAAUAACAGAGAGACGGUUGGCGAGGCGGAUGGCAAGAGUUGCCAGUAGACUCUCCUCCUCGUUGGACGUUCCAUCCUGGUCGCCGAUUGUUCCACGUCGAUCGUCGUGGAUCGUGUAAUUGGAUCCGUGGCUACGUAGCGAACGCGGGACCCACAGCUCCACGAAAUUCGUCUUUCGUACCUCGCUACGAAAGCGGACCAACAACACGUCCACGGGAAUAAUAAUCCCUCGAGUUUACACGAAGUCCCGCUCUGGCCUCGUAACGAUCGAUUAAACGCCGUCUGUCGAACCGCCCGGAAUUUCACGACGUAUGAACUGAUUCUUAAUUAGAGUGGAAAGGGACGAAGAGAUAUUGUUUAGCUAAGGGUGUGAUUCAAUUACGCGAAAAUGGGUUGAGUAACUCAAGCAUUAAUCAUAAUUGCAUUAAAUGUAACGAUAUUUAAAGCGUGUAAUUUAUAGCGUAUUUGACGAGUCUCUCUCAUGCUACAUUGCGCAAGGGUUAACCUUAAGAAUCCCUUUGGUACCUCGUCUUACAUCAUAAUUCAUAAAUAGCCGCUGCAGUAUAAAAACGGUCAGUUUAGGAAUAUAAACAUUCUCGUAAUUCGCAAACCUUCUACCAGAACGAAACAGUGUACGAAAUAAUUAAUACCGUCUUCGAGUUCCUUCGUUCCUUCCGUUCAUUGAACGGCUGGGCGCACGGUACGUCAUGACUUAAUUAGGGUUCAGAUUAUUUCGUUAAGAAGAGAAGAAACGUCGCUAUGGGAACCACAGAUUUCCCUGGUUAAAUCGUGACAAGUGAUAAUUGCCGGACAGAGUACGUCGUAAAUCUAUCGACGCGUGCUUUGGUAUGCAAAAAGAUGCAAGGGAGGUUCUUAGAGGAAUUCGACGACAACGAUAUUCCCGGAUUGUGGCUGUUCUCAAAGCGACACUGUCCGACCAAGAAAAGACCGUAGAGAAAGUCCUAGCGGGAGUAAGAUAAUCUUCGUUUGUGGAAGAGUUCCUGGUGCGAGAGUAUCCAUCAGCGUUAUCUUGAAAUCUUCAAGGGCCCAGUAUGGAUUCAUUAAGGGGUAGCUUCAUUAGUAUCCCAAGAGAGACUCUUUAUACAUAAGCGUUUCUUUCACGUUCCUUUCCCUUAUCCUUUUGCUGCGUUCAUUUUCCCUUUGUAAUCCUGACAGUGUUUCGUUCUCCUUAACGACUCCUUACUUCCACCAAUUUUUAGAUUCGUUCAACGCCCGGAAAAUCUGCCCCGUUAACCACGGUUAAAUAUGUACUGCGAUCGGAUUUUAUUCGUCGUAGUAAGAGGAAAAUGAAUACCUGUAUAACAAUUAUGCGAAAUUGUAGAGUGUAGCUGUUCCUGAUUUCGUGUAUUUUGAAACAAUUCUUUUCAAAGCAGAUAUAAACUUUGCUCUAGCAUCCUUUUAACGAGAUGUCUCCUAAGAAAAUAAACUCUCGAUUCGAAAAUUUUUCCAGGAAAAAUUCUUUUGACUCUUCGAGUGCUGAAUGCUCCCUACGGAAGCAACCCGUGUGAAUGGCACGCGCCAAGCGGUUGCUACCGUUCGAAACGGAAUACUUUUUUUGCUAAUGUCAACUAAAUUCUACCAAAUGUCCAAAUCGGACAAAUUGUGAAUGUAAACAACUAAAUAAAAAAAAAAAAAGAUAA